GAUGAACGCUGGCGGCGUGCCUAAUACAUGCAAGUAGAACGCUGAAGCUUGGUGCUUGCACCGAGCGGAUGAGUUGCGAACGGGUGAGUAACGCGUAGGUAACCUGCCUCUUAGCGGGGGAUAACUAUUGGAAACGAUAGCUAAUACCGCAUAAAAGUCGAUAUCGCAUGAAGUUGACUUGAAAGGUGCAAUCGCAUCACUAAGAGAUGGACCUGCGUUGUAUUAGCUAGUUGGUGAGGUAACGGCUCACCAAGGCGACGAUACAUAGCCGACCUGAGAGGGUGAUCGGCCACACUGGGACUGAGACACGGCCCAGACUCCUACGGGAGGCAGCAGUAGGGAAUCUUCGGCAAUGGGGGCAACCCUGACCGAGCAACGCCGCGUGAGUGAAGAAGGUUUUCGGAUCGUAAAGCUCUGUUGUAAGAGAAGAACGAGUGUGAGAGUGGAAAGUUCACACUGUGACGGUAACUUACCAGAAAGGACGGCUAA
rnacentral:rRNA from 1 species